rnacentral:rRNA from 1 species
UAAGCAUAUCAAUAAGCGGAGGAAAAGAAACUAACCAGGAUUCCCCUAGUAACGGCGAGUGAAGCGGGAAGAGCUCAAAUUUGUAAUCUGGCGGUCUCAGGCCGUCCGAGUUGUAGUCUAGAGAAGCGUCUUCCGUGCCGGCCCGUGUACAAGUCCCUUGGAACAGGGCGUCAUAGAGGGUGAGAAUCCCGUCUUUGACACGGACUGCCGGUGCUCUGUGAUGCGCUCUCGAAGAGUCGAGUUGUUUGGGAAUGCAGCUCAAAACGGGUGGUAAAUUCCAUCUAAAGCUAAAUAUUGGCGAAAGACCGAUAGCGAACAAGUACCGUGAGGGAAAGAUGAAAAGCACUUUGGAAAGAGAGUUAAACAGUACGUGAAAUUGUUGAAAGGGAAACGCUUGAAGUCAGUCGCGUCUUCUGGGACUCAGCCGGACACACUCGUGUCCGGUGUACUUCCCGGUCUGACGGGCCAGCAUCGAUUUCGAUCGUCGGAGAAAGGCUCGGGGAACGUGGCACCUCCGGGUGUGUUAUAGCCCUGGGUCGUAUGCGACGGUGGGGAUCGAGGAUCGCAGCACGCCUUCAUUGGCCGGGGUUCGCCCACGCAACGUGCUUAGGAUGCUGGCGUAAUGGCUUUAAGCGACCCGUCUUGAAACACGGACCAAGGAGUCUAACAUGCCUGCGAGUGUUUGGGUGGAAAACCCGGACGCGGAAUGAAAGUGAAAAGUUGGGACCUCUGUCGUGGAGGGCACCGACUCCCGGACCAGACCUUCUGUGACGGUUCCGAGGUAGAGCAUGUAUGUUGGGACCCGAAAGAUGGUGAACUAUGCCUGAGUAGGGUGAAGCCAGAGGAAACUCUGGUGGAGGCUCGUAGCGAUUCUGACGUGCAAAUCGAUCGUCGAACUUGGG